rnacentral:rRNA from 1 species
GACGAACGCUGGCGGCGUGCCUAAUACAUGCAAGUAGAACGCUGAAGGAGGAGCUUGCUCUUCUGGAUGAGUUGCGAACGGGUGAGUAACGCGUAGGUAACCUGCCUGGUAGCGGGGGAUAACUAUUGGAAACGAUAGCUAAUACCGCAUAAAAUUGAUUAUUGCAUGAUAGUCAAUUAAAAGGUGCAAUUGCAUCACUACCAGAUGGACCUGCGUUGUAUUAGCUAGUUGGUGAGGUAACGGCUCACCAAGGCAACGAUACAUAGCCGACCUGAGAGGGGGAGCGGCCACCCUGGGCCGGAGACACGGCCCAGACUCCUACGGGAGGCAGCAGUAGGGAAUCUUCGGCAAUGGACGGAAGUCUGACCGAGCAACGCCGCGGGAGUGAAGAAGGGUUUCGGAUCGUAAAGCUCUGUUGUAAGAGAAGAACGAGUGUGAGAGUGGAAAGUUCACACUGUGACGGUAUCUUACCAGAAAGGGACGGCUAACUACGUG